GAUGAACGCUGGCGGCGUGCCUAAUACAUGCAAGUCGAGCGAACAGACGAGGAGCUUGCUCCUCUGACGUUAGCGGCGGACGGGUGAGUAACACGUGGAUAACCUACCUAUAAGACUGGGAUAACUUCGGGAAACCGGAGCUAAUACCGGAUAAUAUAUUGAACCGCAUGGUUCAAUAGUGAAAGACGGUUUUGCUGUCACUUAUAGAUGGAUCCGCGCCGCAUUAGCUAGUUGGUAAGGUAACGGCUUACCAAGGCAACGAUGCGUAGCCGACCUGAGAGGGUGAUCGGCCACACUGGAACUGAGACACGGUCCAGACUCCUACGGGAGGCAGCAGUAGGGAAUCUUCCGCAAUGGGCGAAAGCCUGACGGAGCAACGCCGCGUGAGUGAUGAAGGUCUUCGGAUCCUAAAACUCUGUUAUUAGGGAAGAACAAAUGUGUAAGUAACUAUGCACGUCUUGACGGUACCUAAUCAGAAAGCCACGGCUAACUACGUG
rnacentral:rRNA from 1 species